UGUAACUAUAUAUUUUGUUGUACAAAGGACUUCCCAUUCAGUUUGUAUAGUCAACACCAGUCUAGUUAAUCUUUGCUCUUGCUGUUUUUCCAACCUUGUAACAUUAAUGGUGUUGUAUUAGUCCAUGUUCUUAUAUUGGCUUACAUUUUACCAUCACGAGUUUAGUCUAACACCAUGUAUUUCUUCCUAUGUUUUGGUCUGGUUCAUGGUUGGUGAAAUUGCUAACAGAUGGAGGUAUGUGACUUUCUUUCCAUUUAACCUUAUUCAUGAUUAGUAUAUUUUUUACUAGUUAUUGUAGGAGUCUCACACUGAUAUGCUGAUAUACACAUGUCAGGGUGAUACUAAGAGAUCUGCUAGGGGAGGGGAGGGAUCAGCUAAGAAGGAUCCGGACAUUGGAUCUGAUCAGCCUUCAAAUUAGCAGUAUGCUCAAGGCAUGGGCUACCUGAACUCCCAAGUUUGAAAAAUCUAUGCUGAAGCUGUGGCAAUCUCUCUGGAUUCAAAUUUUGUUGCUGCCCUAGAUUCUAGCUGAUCGGCGUAUGACUUCGUUUCUCAGGAAAUUCGCGCGGCUUCUAGUUAAUUUUCAUGCAAGGGAAUUAUCAGUUUCUGUUUAUGGAUGCUACUAUGUGUCUCUGUUACUGUUUACAUACAUAGUAAUUACCUUACAAGUUACAACUUAUAUUGGUUUUUUAUUAUUAGACAUAUAGUGCCCUAUUUUCCUUUCUCCAGCAUUUCGUGUCAUGGGGAGGAAGUAUAGGAGGGAUCUACAUAUGAGAAUUUGUAUGUUAUAUGCAUAUAUGGUGUUUACAUUAUAUACACAUACAUAUAUAUGACAUCGUCUCAAAGUAUAUAGUUCAUGUAGAAUG